AUGCUAUACUUCUCCUAUCAAAAGAGCAAAUUGUACAUUAGACAUAUAGUAUUUGCACGGGUCCGUUCAAGCUUAACUAGGAAAAGGGGCAUUGAUGAGGACAUCAAUACCAUUGUUACACCCACAGCCCCUGCUGCUAUACAUACUGGACCAAUUACUAGAGCUCGUGCAUGCCAAUUAAAUUACCAGGUACUUUCGUUUCUUUGUAAUGAUUCUAAUCUUCAUGAGAAUAUGAUGCUGCCUAAAUUGGAUACAUUUGUUUUGCUUACAAAUGAAGGGCCUAGCUUGGAGAAGGAUGAACAAUGGAGCAAGAACAAGCAUGGAGAUGAUGGCAUGCGCAAGGGGAACAAGAACGGAGUUACAAGUGAUGAUUUCAGGAUGUUGAAGCCACCAUAA
rnacentral:rRNA from 1 species